GAACGCUGGCGGCGUGCUUACACAUGCAAGUCGAACGGGAUCCAAGGGUGCUUGCAUCCUUGGUGAGAGUGGCGAACGGGUGAGUAACACGUGAGUAACCUGUCCUCUUCUUUGGGAUAAGCUCCUGAAAGGGUGUUUAAUACCUUAUGUUCUGUCUGCCUCGCAUGGGGUGGGUGGGAAAGAUUUUUUCGGUGAAGGGUGGGCUCGCGGUCUAUCAGCUUGUUGGUGGGGUGAUGGCUUACCAAGGCUUUGACGGGUAGCCGGCCUGAGAGGGUGGUCGGUCACAUUGGGACUGAGAUACGGCCCAGACUCCUGCGGGAGGCAGCAGUGGGGGAUAUUGCACAAUGGGCGCAAGCCUGAUGCAGCGACGCCGCGUGGGGGAUGAAGGCCUUCGGGUUGUAAACUUCUUUUGCUCUGAACAAGGCGCACCAGUGGGUGUGUUGAGUGUAGGGGUUGAUUAGCGCCGGCUAACUACGUGCCAGCAGCCGCGGUAAUACGUAGGGCGCGAGCGUUGUCCGGAAUUAUUGGGCGUAAAGGGCUUGUAGGUGGCUGGUUGCGUCUGUCGUGAAAGCUCAUGGCUUAACUGUGGGUUUGCGGUGGGUACGGGCUGGCUUGAGUGCAGUAGGGGAGGCUGGAAUUCCUGGUGUAGCGGUGGAAUGCGCAGAUAUCAGGAGGAAUACCGGUGGCGAAGGCGGGUCUCUGGGCUGUUACUGACAC
rnacentral:rRNA from 1 species